rnacentral:rRNA from 1 species
UACGUAGGGGGCAAGCGUUGUCCGGAAUCAUUGGGCGUAAAGCGCGUGUAGGCGGUCCGGUAAGUCCGCUGUGAAAGUCGGGGGCUCAACCCUCGGAUGCCGGUGGAUACUGUCGGGCUUGAGUACGGAAGAGGCGAGUGGAAUUCCUGGUGUAGCAGUGAAAUGCGCAGAUAUCAGGAGGAACACCAAUUGCGAAGGCAGCUCGCUGGGACGUUACUGACGCUGAGACGCGAAAGCGUGGGGAGCAAACAGG